rnacentral:rRNA from 1 species
AGAUUGAACGCUGGCGGCAUGCCUUACACAUGCAAGUCGAACGGCAGCACGGGAGCAAUCCUGGUGGCGAGUGGCGAACGGGUGAGUAAUACAUCGGAACGUGCCCAAUCGGUGGGGGAUAACGCAGCGAAAGCUGUGCUAAUACCGCAUAAGAUCUACGGAUGAAAGCAGGGGAUCGCAAGACCUUGCGCGAAUGGAGCGGCCGAUGGCAGAUUAGGUAGUUGGUGAGGUAAAGGCUCACCAAGCCUUCGAUCUGUAGCUGGUCUGAGAGGACGACCAGCCACACUGGGACUGAGACCGACGGCCCAGACCUCCGUA